rnacentral:rRNA from 1 species
UACGAAGGAUCCAAGCGUUGUCCGGAUUUACUGGGUUUAAAGGGUGCGUAGGCGGACUUUUUAAGUCAGUGGUGAAAGCCUGUAGCUUAACUAUAGAAUUGCCAUUGAAACUGAAAGUCUCGAGUGUGGUUGAGGUAACUGGAAUAUAUCAUGUAGCGGUGAAAUGCUUAGAUAUGAUAUAGAACACCAAUUGCGAAGGCAGGUUACUGAGCCAUUACUGACGCUGAGGCACGAAAGCGUGGGGAGUCAAACAGGA